AAAAAAAAAAAUUUAUUUCCUUCUUCUUCUUACCAUGACUUUCCUCUCCCUUCUCUCUCUCUAAAUUCCUCCAUGGCCAUGAAUUUUCAAGCUUUCAAAGCUUAAAUCAACCCCAUAAAUCCAACAAAUUUCCUAAAUAAAUCAUAUUCUUGGAUCUUGGCAAGUAUAUUGAGAACAAAAAGGAAGAAGAAAUUAGAAGAAUUGGGGCUUUGGGAACACUUCAUUAGAGGUUAGUCAUGAAUCUUCUAAAU
rnacentral:misc_RNA from 1 species